rnacentral:rRNA from 1 species
UACAGGGGGUGCAAACGUUGCUCGGAAUCAUUGGGCGUAAAGCGCACGUAGGCGGUUCGUUAUGUCGGAUGUGAAAGCCCUUGGCUUAACCGAGGAAGUGCAUCCGAAACUGGCGAGCUAGAGUACUAAAGAGGAUCGCGGAAUUCCCGGUGUAGAGGUGAAAUUCGUAGAUAUCGGGAGGAACACCGGUGGCGAAGGCGGCGAUCUGGGCAGAUACUGACGCUGAGGCGCGAAAGCGUGGGGAGCAAACAGG